AUUGAACGCUGGCGGCAUGCCUUACACAUGCAAGUCGAACGGCAUCGCGGGAAAGCUUGCUUUCCUGGCGGCGAGUGGCGAACGGGUGAGUAACACAUCGGAGCGUACCGGCUAGUGGGGGAUAACCCGUCGAAAGACGGGCUAAUACCGCAUACGCUCUUCGGAGGAAAGCAGGGGACCUUUGGGCCUUGCGCUAGUCGAGCGGCCGAUGUCCGAUUAGCUAGUUGGUGGGGUAAAGGCCUACCAAGGCGACGAUCGGUAGCGGGUCUGAGAGGACGAUCCGCCACACUGGGACUGAGACACGGCCCAGACUCCUACGGGAGGCAGCAGUGGGGAAUCUUGGACAAUGGGGGCAACCCUGAUCCAGCAAUGCCGCGUGGGUGAAGAAGGCCUUCGGGUUGUAAAGCCCUUUCGGCAGGGAAGAAAUCGGCGGGGCGAAUAACCCUGCUGGAUGACGGUACCUGCAGAAGAAGCACCGGCUAACUACGUG
rnacentral:rRNA from 1 species